GACGAACGCUGGCAGCGUGCCUAAUACAUGCAAGUCGAGCGGACAGAAGGGAGCUUGCUCCCGGAAGUUAGCGGCGGACGGGUGAGUAACACGUGGGCAACCUACCCUGUAGAUCGGGAUAACAUCGAGAAAUCGGUGCUAAUACCGGAUAAUCAUUUGAAGUGCAUGCUUCGAAUGUAAAAGAUGGCUCCGGCUAUCACUACGGGAUGGGCCCGCGGCGCAUUAGCUAGUUGGUAAGGUAAUGGCUUACCAAGGCAACGAUGCGUAGCCGACCUGAGAGGGGGAUCGGCCACACUGGGACUGAGACACGGCCCAGACUCCUACGGGAGGCAGCAGUAGGGAAUCUUCCGCAGUGGACGAAAGUCUGACGGAGCAACGCCGCGUGAGUGAUGAAGGUUUUCGGAUCGUAAAGCUCUGUUGUUAGGGAAGAACAAGUGCCGUUUGAAUAAGGCGGCACCUUGACGGUACCUAACCAGAAAGCCACGGCUAACUACGUGCCAGCAGCCGCCGUAAAAC
rnacentral:rRNA from 1 species